AGAAAGGACUCUCCUGCUUACUGCCCUAGGAGCCAGAGCAUCUGUGGCAUUUCUUUAGUCUUCAGUAAAGAUCUUCAGUGAGUUACCAACCAUGGGAGUCAGGAUAUGAGCAGCCUCCAAAGUCUGUAAAGAAAGAAGUAAAGGAGCUGUUGGGCCAUCAGAGUGGAUGUCAGUGUCAGCCACGGGGAGAUGCAAUAAUGCUCUCACUGUUGGAAGAGUCACCUCCAUUCAGAAUUGUUCCAUCGAUUAAAUUCAUGCUCUGGACCCACAAACAGUUGCAUUGGCACAACUGCAGCCC
rnacentral:lncRNA from 1 species